rnacentral:rRNA from 1 species
UACAGAGGUCCCGAGCGUUGUUCGGAUUCACUGGGCGUAAAGGGUGCGUAGGUGGCGAGGUAAGUCGGAUGAAAGCUCGGAGCUCAACUCCGAAAUGGCAUUGGAAACUACCUUGCUCGAGGGUUGGAGGGGGGGACUGGAAUACUUGGUGUAGCAGUGAAAUGCGUAGAUAUCAAGUGGAACACCAGUGGCGAAGGCGAGUCCCUGGACAACUCCUGACACUGAGGCACGAAAGCUAGGGGAGCAAACAGG